rnacentral:rRNA from 1 species
UAGUAACUGCGAGUGAAGCGGGAAGAGCUCAAAUUUUGAAUCUGGCGGUCCUCGUGGUCGUCCGAGUUGUAAUCUAGAGAAGCGUUUUCCGCGCUGGACCGUGUACAAGUCUCCUGGAACGGAGCGUCAUAGAGGGUGAGAAUCCCGUCUCUGACACGGACUACCAGGGCUUUUGUGAUGCGCUCUCGACGAGUCGAGUUGUUUGGGAAUGCAGCUCAAAUUGGGUGGUAAAUUCCAUCUAAAGCUAAAUACAGGCGAGAGACCGAUAGCGAACAAGUACCGUGAGGGAAAGAUGAAAAGAACUUUGGAAAGAGAGUUAAACAGUACGUGAAAUUGCUGAAAGGGAAACGCUUGAAGUCAGUCGCGUUGGCCGGGGAUCAGCCUUGCAAUCUUGUUGGGUGCAUUUCCUGGUUGACGGGUCAGCAUCAAUUUUGACCGUCGGAGAAGGGUCGAGGGAAUGUGGCAUCCUUCGGGGUGUGUUAUAGCCUUUGAUCGUAUGCGACGGUUGGGAUUGAGGAACUCAGCAUGACCCCUCGUGGGUUUGGGGCUUCGGCUCACAUCCAUGCUUAGGAUGCUGGCAUAAUGGCUUUAAGCGACCCGUCUUGAAACACGGACCAAGGAGUCUAACAUGCCCGCGAGUGUUUGGGUGUUUAAAACCCGAGCGCGUAAUGAAAGUGAAAGUUGAGACCUCUGUCGUGGAGGGCAUCGACGCCCGGACCAGAACUUCUGUGACGGCCCUGCGGUAGAGCGUGUAUGUUGGGACCCGAAAGAUGGUGAACUAUGCCUGAAUAGGGUGAAGCCAGAGGAAACUCUGG